rnacentral:lncRNA from 1 species
AUGGUGGAACAGGUCACGGGUUCAGCCAACAACACAUCAGAUGCCAUUAUUCUACUGACCGAGACCAUGGUGGAGCGACACGAGACAGGUGUUGAUGGUUCUGUCUCAGUUGGAGGGCAACGCUGGUUUCUCCAUCACACAGACUGGCUCACAGGAAGGCAGUCCACGCCUUGCUGGGCGUGGACACCACACAGCAGGCCUCCAUUGGCCUCGUCCACUUUGACCAAGGACUCUACCUCCUACACCAGGGCUGUUAAAUUAUUUUCAUGGAUGGCCAAAACACUUCUAGUGUGUUUCCUUUCCUUCUAAGUGUUUCGGUCCUCCAUGUCCGGAAUUGAAUAGCCCUGCCAUACACCAUCAUCACAGUUGUGCACCGGGGCCUCCCACUCCUCUUUCUAUUCUGGUUAGAGCCAGUGUGUGCUGUUCUAUGAAGGGAGUAGUACACAGCGUUGUAUGAGAUUUCUUGUAUGGAAUAGCCUUAAUUUCUCAGAACAAGAAUAGACUGAUGAGUUUCAGCAGAAACUGCAUGGUUUCUGGCCAUUUUGCGCCUGUAAUCAAACCCACAAAUGCUGAUGCUCCAGAUACUCAACUAGUCUAAAGAAGGCCAGUUUUAUUGCUUCUUUCAUCAGGAUGACAGUUUUCAGCUGUGCUAACAUAAUUUCAAAAAGGUUUUCUAAUGAUCAAUUAGCCUUUUAAAAUGAUAAACUUGGAUUAUCUAACACAACAUGACAUUGGAACACAGGAGUGAUGGUUGCUGGUAAUGGGCCUCUGUAUGCCUAUGUAGAUAGUCCUUAAUAAAAUCUGCCAUUUCUAGCUACAAUAGUAAUUUACAACAUUAACAAUGUCUACACUGUAUUUCUGAUCAAUUUGAUGUUAUUUUAAUGGACAAAAAAUGUGCCUUUCUUUCAAAAACAAGGAUAUUUCUAACUUUUGAACGGUAGUGUAGGACGACCCCCCAAAACAAAGUGAAAUCGACACAAUCUUAACGUCAUCAUCAUUAUAAUAAUCUGUGAUCAUGGUAGUGAUUCCAAGAGACAAACACAUGUGUUGGUUUAGGAAAAAUCAAGUUUGGCAUUACAGGAGUGCUAAGCAUAAAAACAUCACAGUGGUUAAAAAAGAUUCUAUCCACAGGAGGGUGUUGAACGUUCAGGUUGGAUACAACAGUGAUCUUAGACAGGAUAUGUGUAUAUCCUUUCUGUACAAAUGCAUGUAUCCUACCUUAAAGAAAUUUGAGAGGCACAAAUAUUUGCAUUUGUGUUGCUCAUAACAGUCACAUACUCAAAUGUAUUCUUUAUAUUUUCUUAUGAUUUGUAUGAUUUUAAUGGAGUGACAAUUUUACUUCUGAAUUGAUAUAUGAUGAUGGUUAGAUUCGUUUCCUACUCUUUGGCAGAAUGACAUGGAAGGAAUAGGGUUGCAAAUGUUCCUGAAAUGUUCAGGUUUUACAUGUAAAAUGUAAUAAAGUUGUCACAGGCAGUUGACAUUCUGACUGUAUAUGAGAUCAGGAAAAAGGACACACAGCCCCAAGUAUGAGCAAGGCUAAAGACAGCUCAAUACAGGUGGUGAUGAUCAAAUGUCUGGCAUAUUGAAAAAUCUCAGUUAAUCCUGUAUCAUAAUCAUCCACCAGGUGGCGCUGCAAAAUGCUCACACCUUGCAAAUCUAUGGAUUAGCCAAGUAUUCUAUACCAUAUCAUGACAUUUUAAAAAGAGGGCUAAAGGCAUGUUUCUUAAUUGAAUUAAGAUAUUUUAGGAGAUUAAAAUAAGUACUUAAUAACAUGCACAUGUAUCUUGUCCCAGUAUGCACAGCUGAAUGUAUCCCUUCAUUCUAUGUAUGUUUGGUAGUUUACUAAAACAUUCCCUAUUUUAUGUCUCAAACCCGAACAAAACCUGUAGCAGAGUUUGCUCAAGUGUAAGGGUGCUUUAGUUAAACAGGGGCUCCAUUGGUGAGAUUGAGCGAGAGAGAGAGGCAUAUUGGUGAGAGACCCUAAACUGGUUUGGGAAAAUGUGUAAAAAAAUUAUAGCAUAAUUGUUUGGGUUUUUGGAUGUGUCCUGCCCUGCCGCCUACAGCCUCCCCAUCUUUCCAAAAUAGCGCUAGAGAACUUUUAAACUACACAACAAUCCAAACGCACAGGUCGGGCCCCAGGGUACGUGCCCUGCGUGCCCGUUUGGUAAGCCGGCCCUGGUAGGCCGGCGAUCAUAGCAGAAUGGGAGUGGGCAGAAAAAAUACUGACUCUGUUAUCAAGAAGUCACACCGUCAAAAUCUUGGCGAAUUAUUGGAGACGAACACUGAACACCAAAGGAAGACAUUUGGACACGUAGAGCAAAAUCUGUCAAAUUGAGUGUAACUUGGCAGUAUGUCUUUACGGAUAGUUCUUUGUAGAUUUGAUCAACUAUUUCAAGUCAAAACAUAUUGAAAUCAAUAGAAAAUAAACACCGGUUGCGAAAAGGAAUUCGAUUUUUCUGGAUUAAAUAUCAAUACAGGUUUGUAGUCUAAAUUACCUGGAUUCUUCUGUCUGCUUUUGACGAGAAAGAGGAGCGGGGCGUAUUCACAUCAUCAUCCCUGUCGGCAGGUAAUACACGGGCGUAGUAGAAUGAUAACCUUUACAACUCAGUUUCCAGUCAUUUAUCUAUCAUUCCUAAUAAUAUUACUCAUGAAUGAGUAGGCC